GUGGAGUGACAACAGGAAGCAGAGCUGGAGGUGGCCAACUCAAGAUGUUCAAGCAUGGAUGAAGAGAUGGCGAAGAAGGAGGCUUAAACUGCAGGAGCAUUAUAAGCCACGUGAGACAUGGCCACCAGGCACAACCAGAACCUGAGCUGCUGAAUCGCAAACAGUAACUGUUCCCUCUUACUCGAAAUGCAAAUACAAAUUAAUAACAACAAAUACACAAAUGGAAGGAAGAACUUUCAGAGCAAGCAGUUUGUGUUGGAUGCCGUUGCCAUCACAACACAAGAAUGACCCUGUGCGUCUCCGUGGAGAUUGAAGUAUUGAUCUUCAUUUAGAGAGUGGUGCGAUGCAGACUUUAUACAACGGAAACCGGAGUGCCAGGAGAAAACCCACGCAGGAACGGGGAGAACAUGCAAACUCCACACAGGCGGGGCCGGGGAUUGAACUCCAGUCCUCAGAACUGUGAGGCAGACGCUCCAACCAGUCGCCCACCGUGCCGCCAAUUUCAAUUUCUUUGCGUGGCAAUGUGUAAUGGCGUGACACAAAUGUAUAUGUAUUACUAGAUAAUAACUAGAGCCAAAAAAAGUGUGCUGCGGUAGAACAGCACACUCACAGUACGGCCUUUUUUU